rnacentral:rRNA from 1 species
CAAAGAGGGUAAAAACCCCGUAGACGAAAUGUGGAAGACACCUAGGAGGAUCCUGAGUACGGCGGAACACGAGAAAUUCCGUCGGAAUCCGGGAGGACCAUCUCCCAAGGCUAAAUACUCCCUAGUGACCGAUAGUGAACCAGUACCGUGAGGGAAAGGUGAAAAGCACCCCGGAAGGGGAGUGAAAUAGAACCUGAAACCGUGUGCCUACAACAAGUCAAAGCCCGUUAAUGGGUGAUGGCGUGCCUUUUGUAGAAUGAACCGGCGAGUUACGAUUGCAUGCGAGGUUAAGUUGAAGAGACGGAGCCGCAGCGAAAGCGAGUCUGAAUAGGGCGUUUGAGUAUGUAGUCGUAGACCCGAAACCAUGUGAUCUACCCAUGUCCAGGUUGAAGGUGCGGUAAAACGCACUGGAGGACCGAACCCACGUACGUUGAAAAGUGCGGGGAUGAGGUGUGGGUAGCGGAGAAAUUCCAAACGAACUU